CAAUACUCCCAACUGUUUCUGCAAUCAUAAAAACCAAGCAUAACCUCGCCUGCUCAUGAUCCCUGUCUACCAAAGGCCUGGAAAAAAAAGAUCAGCUUGAAGAACCUCAAUCUGAAGCUGGAUAGAAAUGGAUCCAGACACUAGCACAUUUUCAUGGCGUACUGGACUGUUGGCUCCACUGGCUGAGUCUGUCUGAAAGAGUUUCCACAAGUGUCAGCAUAGAUGCCAGAACAUAUCAUAUGGAAAGCAAGACUGGAGCAAGAUGAAGGAGGUGUGAAAAUUGGAGGGAGAAAUAUCAAUAACUUAAGAUAUGCAGACGAUACCAUACUCUUAGCAGAAGCCAGUAAUGAUUUGAAACGAACGCUGAUGAAAGUUAAAGAGAAAAGCACAAAAGCAGGACUACAGCUGAACGUCAAAAAGACUAAAGUAAUGACAACAGAAGAUUUAUGUAACUUUAAAGGUGACAGUGAGGACAUUGAACUUGUCAAGAAUUAUCAGUACCUUGGCACAGUCAUUAACCCAAAUGGAGACAAUAGUCAAGAAAUCAGAAGAAGGCUAGGACUGGGGAGGGCCGCUAUGAGAGAACUAGAAAAGGUCCUCAACUGCAAACAUGUGUCACUGAACACUAAAGUCAGGAUCAUUCAGACCAUGGUAUUCCCGAUCUCUAUGUAUGGAUGUGAAGGUUGGACAAUGAAAAAAGCAGAUAAGAGAAAAAUCAAUUCAUUUGAAAUGUGGUGUUGGAGAAGAGCUUUGCACAUACCAUGGACUGCGAAAAAGACAAAUAAUUGGGUGUUGGAACAAAUUAAACCAGAACUGUCACUAGAAGCUAAAAUGAUGAAACUAUCAUACUUUGGACACAUCAUGAGAAGACAUGAUUCACUAGACGACAAUAAUGCUGGGAAAAAUAGAAGGGAGUAGAAAAAGAGGAAGGCCAAACAAGAGAUGAAUUGAUUCCAUAAAGGAAGCCACAGACCUAAACUUACAAGAUCUGAACAGGGUGGUUCAUGACAGAUGCUUUUGGAGGUCACUGAUUCAUAGGGUCGCCAUAAGUCAUAAUCGACUUGAAGGCACAUAACAACAACAACAUGUCCCCCCAACACCAUAUAUGCUUUGUGGAUCAGGCUGUACUCCAGGUGUCUUUGCUUUGCAAAAUAACAUUGUCAGCUGGAAGGACUUUCCAAGACACUGUAUUUGUCUCCCUCAGGAGAUCUGCAGCUGCUCUUUGCCCUUUGCUUUGUACUUUUUAAAAUAGUAUGCAAACAAAAUUUAUUUUUAAAAGCCUUUGGCUAUUGAGUAUUAUGUGCUGACCUGCUAUUUUUGUAGUAGAUGAGCAUGCUUUUAUUUUUAAAAGUGCCAUUGUUUUUGAUACAGGCUGAUGGGUUCUUGCAAACCUACCUUUUCUCUGGAAUUGUCAGCCUUUGUUUGCUCGCUCUUUGAGGAGCAUAGAUGAUGAUGAUGAUAUUAGCUAUCUGUAUACCACUUUUUUGUAUGUGGCCUUCCCAUGUUAUUCCAGACCUCAUUUGUAGUGAAUUGGGGUGUGUAAUUUGUAGUGUAAUUUGUAGUGAAUUGGGGUGUGCAAUUACACACCAGCCUACAUAAUGAAUA